rnacentral:rRNA from 1 species
UGGGGAAUUUUGGACAAUGGGGGAAACCCUGAUCCAGCCAUCCCGCGUGUGCGAUGAAGGCCUUCGGGUUGUAAAGCACUUUUGGCAGGAAAGAAACGUCGCGGGGUUUAAUACCCCCGCGAAACUGACGGUACCUGCAGAAUAAGCACCGGCUAACUACGUGCCAGCAGCCGCGGUAAUACGUAGGGUGCAAGCGUUAAUCGGAAUUACUGGGCGUAAAGCGUGCGCAGGCGGUUCGGAAAGAAAGAUGUGAAAUCCCAGAGCUUAACUUUGGAACUGCAUUUUUAACUACCGGGCUAGAGUGUGUCAGAGGGAGGUGGAAUUCCGCGUGUAGCAGUGAAAUGCGUAGAUAUGCGGAGGAACACCGAUGGCGAAGGCAGCCUCCUGGGAUAACACUGACGCUCAUGCACGAAAGCGUGGGGAGCAAACAGGAUUAGAUACCCUGGUAGUCCACGCCCUAAACGAUGUCAACUAGCUGUUGGGGCCUUCGGGCCUUGGUAGCGCAGCUAACGCGUGAAGUUGACCGCCU